rnacentral:sRNA from 1 species
GAGUAGCACCGAUCGAAAUGGUAUCCUUUUUCUGGCUUCUUUAGAUAGGAAAAUAUGUAAUGCGGAGCGGGACUAAAG